GAUGAACGCUGGCGGCGUGCCUAAUACAUGCAAGUCGAGCGAACGGACGAGAAGCUUGCUUCUCUGAUGUUAGCGGCGGACGGGUGAGUAACACGUGGAUAACCUACCUAUAAGACUGGGAUAACUUCGGGAAACCGUAGCUAAUACCGGAUAAUAUUUUGAACCGCAUGGUUCAAAAGUGAAAGACGGUCUUGCUGUCACUUAUAGAUGGAUCCGCGCUGCAUUAGCUAGUUGGUAAGGUAACGGCUUACCAAGGCAACGAUGCAUAGCCGACCUGAGAGGGUGAUCGGCCACACUGGAACUGAGACACGGUCCAGACUCCUAGGGGAGGCAGCGGUAGGGAAUCUUCCGCAAUGGGCGAAAGCCUGACGGAGCAACGCCGCGUGAGUGAUGAAGGUCUUCGGAUCGUAAAACUCUGUUAUUAGGGAAGAACAUAUGUGUAAGUAACUGUGCACAUCUUGACGGUACCUAAUCAGAAAGCCACGGCUAACUACGU
rnacentral:rRNA from 1 species